rnacentral:lncRNA from 1 species
GCUUCCAGUCCGCUAAGCGGGCGUCUAUUGUCUGGUUACACAACAGCCCACAGUGACAGAAAAGAGCAAAGGAGGAGAUUUUUUGUGGGCACUGAAGUCAGGCUUGGGCUUGGCGCUUGUGACCGCCGAUCUGCCAUGCUCCUCUUUUGUCUCUCUUCCUAGUGUUUCUUACCACCUGAUAAUGUUGCAUAUUUUACGUAUUUGUUUUUUAGUUUCUCUCUCCCACAUAACCUCUGAGAGCUGGGAGUCGUUUGGUCCCUGUGUUUCUCUAGAGCCUAGCACAGUGCCUGGCCAGGUACUGGGGGCUUCGUAAAUAUUUACCAACUCAGUGAGUACAAAACACACAUGGAACAUAUUAUUUAAAGGCAUUCUGAGAAAAACACCAAACCGAAAACCGCGUGAAACAAGGAAACUUGACCUUUUCAAACCUGAUUUUUGAUUUGGCAACAGUGAUUGUUAAGGAAGAGCUAAGAGAUAGUGAUAUCGCUAUUUGGUUUUCCAAAGAAUAAUCAAAGAAAUGAGCUUUUUAUGUCUAGGGUGCUUUCCGCCUUCAUUCUAGGGAUUGAUUUCUCUGAGAUGAGCCCACCAAAAAGUCUGAGGAAAAUAGAAGUCCUUUUUAACUAGUCCUCUGUGACCCUCAGAUACACGCUGAACUUGGUCUGGGAGUUUAGGUGGCCUGUCUGAUGAGCAUGACAUGGGGCUUUGGGACUUACAAGAUGGACAUUAAUGUGCUAUACGUAGAUAUUUUUCUGUGCUGGACUCUAUCUGGGAAGUGUGUUUCAUAUGAAUAUUAGCCGGCUAAAUCCUUCUGCUACCUGGCCCUUAGAGAAAUGGUCCUCACAUGAUGCUUAUUCAUAAAUCACGGGUUGGUUUUGAAGGAAAUGAAAACGAGGUGCUUUGAGAGUGCAGAGGAUUAGAACAGCCAACUCCUCUAAGGAAUGACCCGACUCAACCUUCAUUUGGGGGGAACUUUUCGUUAGAAAAUAGCCACACCUAGGCUAGGAAAGUUUCUAAUACCUAUCGGAGUAUACCUAACAGUUUGGAAGAUUCUUCAUAAGAAAUGUUUAAGAUCUCAGUAUCAUCCAGUAUUAAUCAUCCAGUAAUCAUAGCAUCCUUGUAUACAAAACUGGAAGUAUCCUGGAGGAUCACUCAACAAGUGAUAGGCGAAUAUAUCUUGUGUAUUCAACCCAGUGACAGAGAACUUGACUCUAGGAGGGCAUGCAAAUAUUAUGCAAGCGGAUCUGUCAGAGUUGUGGAAAUGAAAGGUACAUUUGCUUUGUUUUAAAUUUCGUUUUCUUGUUUUCUUGCUUUCUUUUUUAGGUAUGUGGAAGUUCCCAGGCUAGGGGUCGAAUCAGAGCUGCAGCUGCUCGCCUAUGCCAUAGCCAUAGCAACUCCAGAUCCUCUGCGACCUACACCACAGCUCAUGGCCUGGAUCCUUAACCAACUGAGCAAGGCCAGGGAUUGAACCAGCAUCCUCAAGGAUGCUAGCCAGAUUUGUUUCUGCUCAGCCACAAGGGGAAUUCCAGUACUUUUGCUUUUGAAUAACUUUUCCAUCUGUUUUUGCAGUUUAUCUUCUCUCUACCAGCACAUGAGAUAUUCCUAUCCUACAUGGAGAAAAUGAGGUGCAGGAAGCUUUCAAACUUGCCUAGAAUCAUGUGGCUCAUUAGGUAUGAUGUGAGGGCUCUUGGCUCCCAAACUGCAUUAUUUUCUCUAGAAUAUGCUGUAAUUCAAAUGCCGGAACUAUCCAUCUAAAAGGAAGAGGGAAAGAAUUUGAGGUUUUUUUUUUAACCCUGUAGAAGUGAAAUCUAAGAAACACACCCUGCAUUUUUCUAGUCCAUGUAAGUAACAGGGUUAACGUGUUGUUAGAAAGAAUUUAGAUGCAAUAUACUAUACCUUAGGGAAGAACAAUAUGAAAAUGGAGUAAGACAGCAACAUGGAUGGACCUUGAGGGCAAUAUUUUAAGUGAAUUAGAGAAAGACAAAUACCAUAUGAUUUCACUUAUAUGUGGAAUCUUAAAAAAAAAAAAAA